CAACGAUGAAGAACGCAGCGAAAUGCGAUACGUAGUGUGAAUUGCAGAAUUCCGCGAAUCAUCGAGUCUUUGAACGCAAGUUGCGCCCGAGGCUUGCCCUCGGGCAUUUCUGUCAGAGCGUCAC
rnacentral:rRNA from 1 species